UAAUCUAGAGAAGCGUCUUCCGCGCCGGACCGUGUACAAGUCUCCUGGAAGGGAGCAUCGUAGAGGGUGACAAUCCCGUCUCUGACACGGACCGCCGGCGCUAUGUGAUGCGCUCUCGACGAGUCGAGUUGUUUGGGAAUGCAGCUCAAAUAGGGUGGUAAACUCCAUCUAAAGCUAAAUACGGGCGAGAGACCGAUAGCGAACAAGUACCGUGAGGGAAAGAUGAAAAGAACUUUGGAAAGAGAGUUAAACAGUACGUGAAAUUGCUGGAAGGGAAACGCUUGACGUCAGUCGCGUCGUCCGGGGAUCAACCUUGCCCUCUGGCUGGGCGUAUUUCCCGGUCGACGGGUCAGCAUCGAUUUCGACCGUCGUAGAAGGACUGGAGCGAAUGUGGCACUCCACGGAGUGUGUUAUAGCCUCCCGUAUGGAUGCGACGGUCGGGAUCGAGGAACUCGGCACGGCCCCUCGAGGGUUCGGGGCUUCGGUCCACGCAGCGUGCCCAGGAUGCUGGCAUAAUGGCUUUAAGCGACCCGUCUUGAAACACGGACCAAGGAGUCUAACGUGCCUGCGAGUGUUUGGGUGCAAAACCCGAGCGCGAAACGAAAGUGAAAGUCGAGACCUCCGUCGCGGAGGGCACCGACGCCCGGACCGGAGCCUUUGGCGAUGGAUCUGCGGUAGAGCAUGUAUGUUGGGACCCGAAAGAUGGUGAACUAUGCCUGAAUAGGGCGAAG
rnacentral:rRNA from 1 species